UAAAUUUACAUUUUACUUUAUAGUAAAUAUGAUAGCAUGCUUAUUGUAGUUAUGUCAUAACUCGUUAUUUUAUAAUUUUUUAAAUAUAUUAAUUGAUAAUAUUUGCUCUCGACUUUAUUUUGACGUUACAUUCUUGGACACACCAUUAAUUUAAUAGGUUGAAUGCUUUUUUCCGAAAAUCUUUUAUCAUUUAAAAAUCAAUGUUAUCAUGUCAGAAAUAUCUAUGGCGUUGAGAAUAGGCUAUACCAAUUACUAUGGAAAUGUCUUUUCAAUUGGACCCAAGACUGAAGACCUUACAAUUUUAUAUUAAGGUGUAAAUUAUAAAUAUAAAGCAUUAAUUUAAUAGGUUGAAUGCUUUUUUACUGAAAAUAUUUCAUCUUUUAAAAACCAAUGUUAUCAUGUAAAAUUGGAUUUGAGUAUGACAUAUCAAUUGCUAUGGAAAUGUCUUUCCAAUCGGACCCAAGACCUUACAUUUAUAUAUCAAGGUGUAAAUUAUAAGUAUAAAACAUUUAUUUCUAAUGUGACAUUUUUUCAUGUGAAUGUAUAAUAUCAACACUAAGCAAUUUGAAUGAAAAGUGUGUUGUGUUAACUUAAAAUAAUUAUUAAUGCAUGUAUUUGUGUAUGUGGGUUGAUAAUACUCAUAUACCUGUUUCAUUUAUUUUUAAAAAUAU